CAAAAUAUAGCUUAACCCACAAAGCAUUCAGCUUACACCUGAAAAAUGUCCACUAAAACUAGACUAUUUUGA
rnacentral:tRNA from 1 species